rfam:Sus scrofa isolate TJ Tabasco breed Duroc chromosome 12, whole genome shotgun sequence.
CUCCAGCUGGUUUAGUGGCUAGGAUUCCUGGUUUUCACCCAGGCUACCCAGGUUCAACUCCUGAGCAGAGA